rnacentral:rRNA from 1 species
UACGUAGGGUGCGAGCGUUGUCCGGAAUUAUUGGGCGUAAAGAGCUCGUAGGUGGUUUGUCGCGUUGUUCGUGAAAACUCACAGCUUAACUGUGGGCGUGCGGGCGAUACGGGCAGACUGGAGUACUGCAGGGGAGACUGGAAUUCCUGGUGUAGCGGUGGAAUGCGCAGAUAUCAGGGGGAACACCGGUGGCGAAGGCGGGUCUCUGGGCAGUAACUGACGCUGAGGAGCGAAAGCGUGGGGAGCGAACAGG